GAAGCAAGGUUGGACUUUGUCAAAUUUUAAGCUUCGAGGAAGGCAGAGGAGACAGUCGCCAAUUUUACUUUUUUGGCUAGGCUCCUCACGGCCAGACCUUUCCUCCUUAAACAGAAUUCGGAUUUUGGAACAAAGGAGAGCCGAUCACUCGACUUGUUCAACCAAAUAGGAUUUUAGACCUUUAGUCUCCUCUCUUGUUCUGUGUGGACCAAGCAUGAUCUGAAGAGCCAUCGUGCGCUGGCCCGCCUGAGGGUAAUAGAAGGCAUACGAGUGCACGUCAGCUCCUCACAGAGGAUAAAGAACACGGGUUGCUUUUUGUCCACGAAAGAUUUUUUUUUUCCCCGGGUGUAAAAAAGAAGAAAGAUAUUGAUGUUGUUUUCCAUCACCCGCCAAGAGCAAAGGAAGACGACAAGGGGAGAGAGAACAAAGAAAGAGAAGAUGAAAGGCAAAUCGAACGCGUGGUGCCAUGACAUGUCGAGUUCCAGGAUCGAUACCCACAUUCCCAAGAGCGCAUUCCGCAUGCACCCCCACACACACACACCAUAACCACCACUACCGUGUCACUCACUCAACCACUCUAUUAACAGCAAAAUAUAUAUAUUUUUUUAAAUUUGUGUACUGGGUGAGCAAAAACAAGACAAAAUUUGCGGUGAUGACGUCAACCUAGAAUUUUGCAAGGAACAAAACAAAAGCACCUUUCAAUUCGAGCUACGACUUGCAUGGAGUGAUCGCUGAGUUGAAACGUCUUUUGGCAGUGAGGACGUCAAGUUGCUCUUGAAAAACCCAUUCAGAAAGCACUUGUCACUCGCCUUAUGUGGUGAAAAAACGAGAGAGUGUGGCCACAUGCUGGAUCCAAAUAAAAAAAAAAAGUUUUGGCGUCACAGCAGAAGUCCGUAUCGAGGCCGAGGCCGCCAAGGCCACUGAGCCAAUGCCUCGGUCCGAGGCUUCACUCAUCAAUCGCUGUUAGACUUUGCGCCGGCUAAAUUGGACUUCUGCGCUUCACCAAAAACAUCUGAUGACCUAUGGGCCUCUAUGCGCCCACACGCGUCCAGCAAAUUUAGAGCCCGUCGCUUCGUGAGACGCUCCGACUGAGUAGAUGGCAGAGACAAAAGCACAGAUGUGAGAAACGUUCCCGAAUGGUGAAGGUGUUAAGUGGCGCUAGCUGCCGUGUGUUUUCUGAGAAGAUGAAAGAGGGCGCAAAAAAGGAAAAGUCGAAGAGAAGCAAAUAAAAGAGGAGGCGGUGGAGGAGGUGGAUGAGGAGGAGGAGGAAGAGGAGGCAGAGGAGGAGGACAAGGAAAGGCCAUGCUGAGAAGCAAACAUACGAUACCCCACGCUCAGAGUUCUCCACGUGUGAAUCUCUCUAUCGGAGCAGGAAGGGCAAGAAGGCAGGUGUUGGUGGGACGGGAAGGGGCAGAGCCAAAACCAGGAAGCAGGAUGGUGGGAAUCAUAAAAGGGCGACAGUGAGAGAGCACAAUCAGAGAGGUUUUUUUCUUCUUCCCCCAAAAGGCAAAGAAAAAGACAAAUACUGCCAACUGUUGCAGACGACUUUUUGCUCACAUCUGUACAUAAAAAGGCAAUGAUCGUUCAUCCAUGCUAACACCUGCUCGUUGGCUAAGAGCGCUUUGCCUGAUGUGGGCACGACAUUAGCAUUGACCCUGCUUAGAAUGCCAGUUGUGGGAGCAUCUUCAGAUGCCACGUUUCUGCUUGUUGACUUAAAAAACGCACCGUUUCUGCAUGUUUCUCCUAUCGGUGCUUUCGGGCGCUUUUCAGGGCUGUCUACUAAAAGAAAAGCUCCUCGGGUGGGAAAGGUUUAAAUAACAAGCCUUUUCCAUCAGAGAGCAUGCGUGCUAUCAAUCAUGUUGUUCCGUUUGCCUCUAUUAUUUAGAGACGGGGGUCUUGGGGCCAUCGGGCGCUGCUUCCCGGACUCCCUGAGGGCCCACCUGCUUGCCAGAACAUCACAUUCCCAUUAAGGCGUCUUUAUUAGCGACGUCCGCCGCCUUCUCCAGGGGAAUCAAAGUCAUCCUGAAAGAUUCAUUGCACACUUGGCCGCACUCAGAACUCAUGGGCUCCUAGAGUCUUGCGAGACACACACAUUUGCAAUGAAUGAAUUAUGGAUAGAGCCAAUGAGAGGCUCAAAUGAGGGUUGAGGGAUUCUAGCCCCCGUGGAAUUGCUUUGGAAAAUUCAGGUUUGUGCCAUGAAAUUUGGUGAACGUGUCUAUUAGGAGUAAAGCCACCCAAAGAAAAGAAAUGCAGUCAAUUGGCCUCGAAGCAGGCAGGUCAUGCCCGAUUGCUCUCGUUCAUCCAACCGAAUGGACCGCCCCCACCCAAAUAAACACAAUGCCAAAGCCAGCAACAUGAAAUUGGCUUGACAAAAUGAAAAAGGUCAACACAUUGGAAAAGUACGUCAUUGAGUUUGGAAGCAGACAUUGCAGGCUGCAUUGGCUCAGUUGCACCCAACAGGAUGUCAAAAAAAGACAAAUUGGGAGGCGUAUCUAUCAUGAAUCGACUGACAAGAAUGAUAGUCUGCCGUUUUGCUUUCAAGUGGCCACAUUGUUUACAUUGUUUGUGGUCGGCACAUGCUUUUCAUCUGGAAAUGUGCUACCUACUCUGCUUUCCCCAAACUUGUGCUCAUUAAGAGAGUUGACAGCAAACUGACACGUGGCAAAGUGGUGCUACGACGCCGCCACUGAUUGCAUUAGCAUAGUGGUCGGAUGCUCGACAAUCACCCGUCUGGAACGUUGCGAGGCGAGGGGCCACUUGGGCUCCGUCUUGCGCUUUUUCAUGCCGACAAAAAAAAAAUCUCACGUUGGCCAAAUAGCGGCGCAGCGUUGAGGUCUGCAAUGGGGAAAAAAAACACAGCAAAGCAAUCAGCCAGCACAAACUGCUGCUUGUUUGCUGGUAAUAAUAGUCAGAAUGCUUGAGAAAAAAUAGUGAGCGAGCGAUAGAGUGAGAGAGAGAGAGGCCCACCGUAGUUUAGCCGUGAUAACGCCAAGAGACGUGUUUUGAGGGCUAUUUUUUUUAUUCAUUCUUAUUUCAUCCCUUUUUAAUCACAAUAAAAAAAUCGAGCUAACACAGUCUGGGUUGCGUCUAGGAUUUUUAACUUGUGCGUAGCGCAGUGCUUCUCAAUUAUUUAUUUUCUGCUUUGCCCUUCAGGAAGGAAGAAUAAAAUAUUUCACCCCCCCAA